rnacentral:ncRNA from 1 species
GUCAACGACCCAGGUCUGAAGACACUGGGCUUCCAACCUAAGACUUAAGACAACAGUUGACCAGACUCAGUACCUUGCGUACUACGUUAUUGGCAAGUGUUCAAGUUCCUACCUUGGGAUGCGUAGCCAGUUCCUUGCUCUAGAACCAGAGGAUUAAACCGAUUUAUUGGGUUAAGUCNNN